rnacentral:rRNA from 1 species
CUACGGGUUGCUGCAGUCGGGAAACUUCUGCAAUGCGCGCAAGCGUGACAGAGCAAGCCAGAGUGCUUUCCUAUAAUUGGAAAGCUUUUAUGCGAUGCAAAAAGUCGCAUGAAUAAGGACUGGGCAAGACUGGUGCCAGCCGCCGCGGUAAUCCCAGCGGUCCAAGUGGCAGCCGCGUUUAUUGGGUCUAAAACAUCCGUAGCUUGCUUGGUAAGUCUCGUGUGAAAUCUGGCAUCUUAAGUGUCAGGCGGGCACGAGAUACUGCCUAGCUAGAGACCGGGAGGCGUAAGGAGUACGCACAGGGUAGCGGUUAAAUGCGUUGAUCCUUUGCGGACUAACGAAUAGCGAAGGCACCUUACGAGAACGGAUCUGACAGUGAGGGAUGAAGGCUAGGGGCGCAAAACGGAUUAGAUACCCUUGUAGUC